AUACGUAGGGGGCAAGCGUUGUCCGGAAUGAUUGGGCGUAAAGGGCGCGUAGGCGGCCUGUUAAGUCUGGAGUGAAAGUCCUGUUUUCAAGAUGGGAAUUGCUUUGGAUACUGAUGGGCUUGAGUGCAGGAGAGGUUAUCGGAAUUCCCGGUGUAGCGGUGAAAUGCGUAGAGAUUGGGAGGAACACCAGUGGCGAAGGCGACUUACUGGACUGUAACUGACGCUGAGGCGCGAAAGUGUGGGGAGCAAACAGGAUUAGAUACCCUGGUAGUCCACACGGUAAACGAUGAAUGCUAGGUGUAGGGGGUAUCGACCCCUUCUGUGCCGCAGUCAACACAAUAAGCAUUCCGCCUGGGGAGUACGGCCGCAAGGUUGAAACUCAAAUGAAUUGGCGGGG
rnacentral:rRNA from 1 species